rnacentral:lncRNA from 1 species
AUUUAUAUCAUAAUUUCCCCUAUUAUUUUCCAAAUUUUCCACCUCGUUUACCUCAUCUCACUCGUCCCCUUCUUUUAAAAGAUGUUCUAUUUCUUUAUCAUAAAAUAAAGAUGUAGAAAUAUCUUUAUCACUAAUGUUAGUAGAUUUUGGAAUAGGGGGAUAAUCAGGAUAUGAAAAUUCGAUCACUUUUUUUGUAUCAUGCUCUUCUUUUUCUUCUUCCUCCGUUAGCCUAGAAUCUGAAGGUUUAUUUAUUUUAUUACGAUAAAGGGGUGUGUUAGAGGGAAUGAAUAAAUUCCUUAGAAAUAUCCUUUCCUGAAACUACUCUUAGUUGUUCCUUAGCUACUUUCUUUGGACCCUCGUUUGUUUUAACUUUGACUAUUCUGUCAUUAAUUACUUUUAAAACAUUAAAAGGUCCAUAAUGGUAAAUAGCUAAUUUACAAUUUGUGUCUGUUUGUGGUGCCUAUAAAAAUACGUUAUCCCCAACAUUUAUAUUUCGUUGGAUAACCUUUUUAUCAUAAGCCUUUUGAUAAGACUCUCCAAUUGUUGGACUUUAACUCCCUCUAACGCACCCGUAACUGUGUUUCCAUCACAAAUAUCAAUUCCAUUAAUAAGUUUGAACUCGCUCCGCAAUGAAAAUAUGGGCAAUGAUACAUCUGGAAUACUUCAAGCCUCACUCCCAAUUUCCUUAUUAUUCUGCUUAAAAAGUAUAGCUAAUCGAUGUUAAACCUGAGAUUGAAGUAUAUAACUUCUAUAUGAAAGAAUAUUCAAGGAUGACGUCUAACAAAUUGACCGGAGUAUAUAUAUCAAAGAAGACAAACCCCAAGAAAGAUUGUGUAGACAGUGUGGUUUCCAAAAA